CUACGGGAUGCUCCAGUGGGGAAUCUUAGACAAUGGGCGCAAGCCUGAUCUAGCCAUGCCGCGUGAGCGAUGAAGGCCUUAGGGUUGUAAAGCUCUUUCAGUGGGGAAGAUAAUGACGGUACCCACAGAAGAAGCCCCGGCUAACUCCGUGCCAGCAGCCGCGGUAAUACGGAGGGGGCUAGCGUUGUUCGGAAUUACUGGGCGUAAAGCGCGCGUAGGCGGAUUGGAAAGUUGGAGGUGAAAUCCCAGGGCUCAACCUUGGAACUGCCUUCAAAACUUCCAGUCUGGAGUUCGAGAGAGGUGAGUGGAAUUCCGAGUGUAGAGGUGAAAUUCGUAGAUAUUCGGAGGAACACCAGUGGCGAAGGCGGCUCACUGGCUCGAUACUGACGCUGAGGUGCGAAAGCGUGGGGAGCAAACAGGAUUAGAUACCCUAGUAGUC
rnacentral:rRNA from 1 species